AAUUGAUCCUGAUUUGAUCGGAUCUAUGGUUUAAUUAAUUUAUUGAUUUGAUCAAGUUUAAUUGAGGUUAAGAGAGCAUAAUUAGAUUAGAUUCAUCAUAUUUUAUUUAGAUCUAAUUGAAUUAGAUUUGAAAAAAAUUCAAUUGGUUAAACUCUAGAGUCCCAAAUGAAUGGGACUCUCUCUCUUGCGCCACCCAGAA
rnacentral:lncRNA from 1 species